CUCCGCCGGCGACCGGCGCACGGGUGAGUAACACGUAUGCAACCUGCCCCUGUCAGGGGGACAACCCGCCGAAAGGCGGGCUAAACCCGCGUACAUGCCACCGGGGCAUCCCGGAGGCAGGAAAGGCUUCGGCCGGACAGGGAUGGGCAUGCGGCGCAUUAGGCAGUAGGCGGGGUAACGGCCCACCUAACCGACGAUGCGUAGGGGUUCUGAGAGGAAGGUCCCUCACACUGGUACUGAGACACGGACCAGACUCCUACGGAAGGCAGCAG
rnacentral:rRNA from 1 species